GUUAUUUGCUGUUGUCUACUCUCUUCAACUUUCUCUCUUUUUCUAUCAGUUUUCAAAAGCAGAAAAACUUAUCCUCAAUAGUAUUGUCUUCUUCUGAUGGUCAUGCUUUCGGUUUAUUGUCUUUUUAGGCUGAAAAUAUGCCAAAAUCGUGAGUUGAAUGCUGACCUCCUGGACAGAAGCAUCCUAUUGAUACAGCAAUAUGUGUCAAGGAUCAACAGAAUCAGUGUAGCGGGGCGUGCAUGCAGUCAAGGGGGAUGUGUCCAUUUUGAACUCCAUGGCGUAAAUUCGUACAACUGCACGCACCGUUCAAUAACUAGAAGCCAUCAACAUGAUGUUAGCCAGAGAAACCAGGACUCAGAUUUCCCCACAAAAUAUUUUCCUAAGCUAUUACCUCAAGAA